rnacentral:rRNA from 1 species
GCGAUCAUACCAGCACUA